AAGUCGUAACAAGGUUUCCGUAGGUGAACCUGCGGAAGGAUCAUUAAAGUAUCUUCCUCGGAAGGGAGGCCAGCCCAGCUCCGGUUCCAAAAGGGCCGUGCAGCGGGCGAACCGACCGACCGAAAACCCCACAAACCCCUGUGCACUAACCGACGGUGGAGGGAGACUGGGCGAGAGCUCGCAAUCCCGAAUCCGUCGCCAACAAACCCCUUUGUUAAAGAAUGAGAUAGCGUCCACUGCGGCGCCUAACUUUUAAAUAACAACUUUCAACAACGGAUCUCUUGGCUCUC
rnacentral:misc_RNA from 1 species